AUUGAACGCUGGCGGCAUGCCUUACACAUGCAAGUCGAACGGCAGCGGGGACUUCGGUCCGCCGGCGAGUGGCGAGCGGGUGAGUAAUGUAUCGGAACGUACCAUUCAGUGGGGGAUAACUAUCCGAAAGGAUAGCUAAUACCGCAUAUUCUGUGAGCAGGAAAGCAGGGGAUCGCAAGACCUUGCGCUGAUUGAGCGGCCGAUAUCAGAUUAGCUAGUUGGUGAGGUAACGGCUCACCAAGGCUACGAUCUGUAGCGGGUCUGAGAGGAUGAUCCGCCACACUGGGACUGAGACACGGCCCAGACUCCUACGGGAGGCAGCAGGGGGGAAUUUUGGACAAUGGGCGCAAGCCUGAUCCAGCCAUGCCGCGUGAGUGAAGAAGGCCUUCGGGUUGUAAAGCUCUUUCGGCCGGGAAGAAAUCGCAUCAGCUAAUACCUGGUGUGGAUGACGGUACCGGAAUAAGAAGCACCGGCUAACUACGUGCCAGCAGCCGCGGUAACAC
rnacentral:rRNA from 1 species